CACCCCCUCUCCUGGUCCACAGACUGAACCUGUGCAGAGUGUAUUCCAGGCUCGGUGCUUGAAUUUCCUUCCUUUCCACAUAGACAGAUGAUGAUGAUGUGGGCCUUCCUAUCUGCCUGUACUAAACAUUAUCUAUAUUUAUAUUUGGAUAACUGUUUAACCAUCGUUGGCCUUAUCUACAGUCCCUUGUGCUUACUCAAUGCCUCAAAAGCCCGUGGAAGGACCGGAGAGUUAAGAGCCAAGCCAGCAGCUGCUUAAGGGGAGGGUCUGAAAACAGGAGAUCUCAAGUUCCGGUUCCACAUCCUUCUUAGAAGACACAAAGCCUUUUGUUUCUCAUCUCUGUUGCCCUCAAGAUUUGAUCAAGAGCCAACGGACAGUAGGCUGAAGCUGAGGGGAGAGGAAUGCCUAAGAGCGGUGCUGUUGCUGCCCCAGCCCCCAACAGGCAACGCGUGUGCGCCAUCCUCUGCGGCCUGGACCCGCGAGGGUAGGAGAGCGCAGGUCCCUGUGGUAUUUUCGAACCUCAGACCCUUCCAUCUCCUGUAGAGAGCUACCCUUCAAAUGGUAAAGAUGAGUUUUGCCAGUCUUCACCUGAUGAUAUGACCACACCAGGAUUUUAUCUCUGUGUAAGCCAAGCUUUAGCAUCCCACACCCACUUGAACAUCACCGGUUCCCUGCUUCGUUAGGAAGGAUCUUGUGGGGACCGAAAAGAUGCCUGUGUGGGUAAGAGCGCUUGCUGCACCAGGAUUAGGACCUGAGUUCAAAUCCCCAGCACCCAUGUAAAAAAGCUAAGUGUGCCUGCAUCCUGUUGGCUAGUGCUGGGAUGAGUGGAGACUGGAGUAUCGUUGGGACUUGCUGGCCUCGGAGUCACGGAGAAACCCUACCUCAAGGAAAUAAAGCCAAGAGUGUCAGAAGAGAGCACUCGUAUUCUCCUCUAGCUUCUAAGUACAAAAGCAACCCCAUAUACACAUGUGCGCCCACCAUACACAUCACACACACACACACACACACACACACACACACACACCAGAAAAGAAGGCCUUUAUGAACUUGGUGUGGUGUCCCUUGUGUAUAGUACCAGGAUUUCGAGAGGCAGAGGAGGAGCAGUGGUUCUGGGCCAUCCUCAGCUGCAUAGCAAGCUUGGGGCUAGCCUAGUGGGUUGUCCAUAGGAUUCUGUACUCAAUAACAAAAGGCCAUUGUGGAGUCUUGCCACGUUGACUCGUAGGACAACCGCAAAUUUCCCAGUGGGUCCUGCGUGAGCCAACAGGAAGGGGUGUGGCUGGGGCAGAGCAGAGGCUUCAAGCUGGCUUGCUUGGCUCAGCCCUGAGUGUUUAGAGUGCAAGACUUAGCUCAAGGGCUCUGUUGCCAGAUUUCCUGCACCGGGUACCUUUGCCAAGUAACCCGGAGAUGACCUGAAGGAGAAGGAGAAGUCGUGGGGAGACAGCUGCAGUAUGAAUGGAACCUCUGGGUUUCUUAGUUGGUGAAGCUGAUGUUUGCACGGGGGCAUGGUGAAGAGGACGUGUGGGCCUCAUUUUUCCCUAGCUCUGGUGUUGUAAAGGAACAAAAAAGCCAUUUACUUGCGGAAGAGCAAACAUGUUGCAGAUGGAGGAGUUAAAGAUGUGCCCCUUGCUCUCCACAUUACCCAGUGGAACUUCAAAGCAGCCACCAUAGCAGAACAGUCACGUGAUGAUAAUAGGUGAACAGGUAUUCAUCCCGUUAAACCACACACACACACACACACACACACACACACACACACACACCCGUGGGCAGGACUCCUAAACUUACUUUCCACAAGAGGUAAGACAAGCUCACUCAGGUUAAGGAAUCGAUUUCUUCACAUGCCCUGCCUGCUCAUUUGAUUUUGUGAGUUUAAAUUCCUUUGUUUUUUGGCUUGAGUGUGUCACAUAUUUGGCAGGGGUUGGGGGGGGGCCAAGGACAGCAAGACUUUUUCCUGUAUAGAGAAGUGUUCACAGCAGGGGAGAGGCCUCGGAGGCUGUGGGCCUAGUCAGAGGUCUAUGUGGGAAUGAAGUCUUAGGAAGAGGGGAGCGGGAAGCUGGUCCUAUGGCAGUGUUAGUCCAUUACUAAAGGGCUGCCACAUAGAUUUCUCUGCUUCUAAAAGUAAAAUGGAAAAUGUAAGAGAUCUGCAAGCUGAACGGGGUGGUGUGUGCUUACCCCCAGCUUCCCAGCACUUGGGAGGCAGAGACAAGCGGAUUGCCAAGUUGGAGGCUAGCCUGAUCUACAGCCUCCUCCCUGCAGGGUUUAGCGGCAGUCCCCACUGCCCUGCUGCUCUCCUUGGGAGAGGCCCUGAGGAUCUUGCAGCAUUUGAAAUCUCUUGAACUUAGUAAGCUCCUACAGCAUCCAAGCCCUGAAGAUUGCUGUAGCUGUCUGUUUUAUGAGUUUAUUCAAAGAUACAAUGUUUCCACGCCCCAGGUAACAGCUUCAGAGCACUGGGUGGGCAGCACUUCCAGCCAGUCAGCCUCGGCUCUCUUAUCAGGCUGCUGUUUCAUAGAGGGGGGUGGAGAUGAACGUUAAUAACAGCAGGUCUGACUUCAUACUCCUUAGCACAUCCUGCAAAUGUAGUCCAGACCCUUCCUUGGGAGCUAAGCAUCGUCUCACACUUGAGGUCUCGGCUAAAAUGGACUCCUACAAACAAGCCAUUCCUGGUCACGGAAAGUCUACUUCAGCUGCUGACUCUUCAAAACAUCCAUCACUUUGACCUCCCAGGAUCAUCUGACUAAUCCCUGAGCUGAGUCCCUAGCCCCAUUUAUCAAACUGGGAGAAGCUUGCCCCUGGACAGCUCAAUGUAUGUCUCAUGCGAUGAGAGCGUUACAUUUGCUUUAUGGUUUUAGUGAAAGGGAUAAUGGAGCUAUUGUUAAUCAUUGAAUUCAAGAGGAUAAAUCAGGAGCCAACAAACUCAGGAUCUUUGAUGCCAGACCCCCAGGCUAUAGGCUGUUGAUGAACAUGUUUCUGGUUGCGUUCCUGUCUGUCCCGAUGGAUUACUAGGCCAAUGCGUCAAACAUUUACUGGAAAUGUCUUCAAAUGCAAUUUAAAAAAAAGUUUUAA
ensembl:processed_transcript